rnacentral:lncRNA from 10 species
UGCUAGAUCCAGAACUGUCACCCCUGGGUCGCAUGGAGGCCUUGAGGGUUGGGAUUCAAUCCUCAUUCCUGAGAAGGUGAGAAGCAUAGCAAGGAGGUCAGGGGAUCUGAGGGGCUUCAGUGAUGCCCCUUACUUGAGCUCUCUCUGAUCUCUCUUAACCAGGAGCUCUAGAACCCCAUUGUGAAUGUGGACAUUGUUAUGGAUGCAAAUGUCCACCUGUGCAGAGAAUUAGGCAAGACAGAGAGAGGUGUUUUUCUGGGAAGACUGUCUGAGCGAGCAACCACA